CUGAGAAAGCUGUUAGUUCAAUUAGUCACCUUGUCUGCUUGCAUAAAACAAACCCGACUCCCAUAAGCUGGCUGGAGCAUCCAUUCAUCUUGAGAUACAGUGUUUUGUGUGUAUCUGAUGGUCCUAAAAGAAGUAGCCUGAGCACAUCCCUGAACCAAGAAGCGGGCGAGGAGACCACUUGUCCACAAAGAGCUUUAGAAAAAUAGGUUCACAAUGAACAACCAGGAGGGGCAGGUUUUAGGAGCAGGGAAUGAACUUCUUUCUCCAGGGUGUGUAUUUUUUUCAGCUUGUAAGGAGAAAAGUUAGCAAAUGACAUUGCCCAGAAAAAGAACUGUUGCAUAAGGAAACUGAAAGAGAAUGCCAGUGUGCCAAGUAAGACGGGCUUUAUCUCUAGCUCUGGAUCAGAUAGAACAGUAGGGGAGGAGAGGUGAAAGCUGGUAGCAGGAAGUGAUCACAGAUAAAUGACUCUUGAGGUUGGGAGAGGAGUCUAGAAAGCACAGGCCAGAAUUUGUUGGCCUCCUCCCAUAGGCAGUACCUGUGGGCUUGCACUACAGAGGGCACCUUUGCAGAGGGUUAUUCAUUCUUUCAUCUAAUCAUUUAUAUUUCAUUCAUUGAUUUGUUUAUCUUUUGUCUUUUUAGGGCCACACCCACUAGGAGUUGAAUCAGAGCUGCAGCAACCAGCCUACACCACAGCCACAGCAAUGCGGGAUCUGAGCCACAUCUGAGUCCCUGUCAGUGGAAAUGCAGUGUGUUCCAAGCUGAGGCUUUCAGAGAUGGCAAGUUCCCUACAUGCUCGCUCAUGUCCUUCUCAUUCAUCGUGACCCGAGCAUGAUGUAAGUCUCAGAAUAAGACUCCGUGGAGCAGACCUGAACCCCACCAACAGCCUGAAACCAAGCUCAGCCAAGCCCAGCAACGCAUCACAGAGACGUAGUUGACUCACACACCUAAAACACAUGGGAAUCCAGAUAAAGUAACACAGUAUCAUAUCUGGACUGGUUUCCUGGUUGCUGAGCAUAGCAUCAUAGACCAGAAAUGUAGAGAUGCCCUAAGAGAUCCUGUUCCCUGUGAGAGAAAGAGUAGCCUCCACAGAUGUCAGCUUAGUCAUUGCAUUUUAUGUAGUUCCUGCACCUGGAGAUUCCUGCAACCUCUUACUGGCUCUGACGUGAGUAAUUCUUU
rnacentral:lncRNA from 1 species